UACACAGAGAUCAUUUACUCCAAACAUUCAUUUGGACCACAUUUAAGGCUCUGAGCCUAGAGUUCACACCAACGAGGAUAUUCCGGCGAUCUUAUACUCGUCGGAAUAAGCUCCUCAUCCUCCGGCAUGGUUACUUAUUCUCACGUCGGAGCUUGGUCAUGGAUUCCCCCUCCGGGGUCCUCCGUGACGAGGCUAACGAUGUUCUUUUUUGUAGGAAGACGACAUCAAUUCAUUACAACGUUGAUGAGCCUCGUUGAUCUUCUACAGGGACUCGACAUAUAAGAUUGUAAUCUACUUAAUCUAUACAUGAGUAAAAUUAUUGGGGAAAAGAUACGUGUAAGAAACCUCGUAAAAGGUACGUACAGAAGUAAGUAUAACUUUUCUUUUUAACUUUCUAAAUAUAAUAUUUUAUCUCCCGCCUUUGCAAAUAAAAUAAUCAAGUAUAUAUUUAAUUCAGAAUUUUUGAGUUUAAUGAAAGGACAUCGUUUCUAUACAACUCACUAGUUCCACUAGUGGGUUAAUAUUAUCGAUUUUAUCGGCGUGAAUUGAAUUUUAUAUAAUAACAAUUGAUGAAAGGCCUUAGGAACAGUACACUAAUUGACCAAGUUUUGAAUCAUAUUUACGGUACUGCCACUAUUUCUUUUUGUCCAACAUAGCGAGGGAGGGGAUCAGAUAAACGGUAGAGAGAAGCAGAAAGAGAGAGAGAGAUAAUCGAAGCGACGCCAGCCUGUUCCAGUGACCAUCUCUCUUCUGCCCCCGUUCCAGCGACGACGAGUGUCGUUGAUACUAGAGGUUAAUGGUGAUUAUUGACUCAAAAGGAAGCAGACCAUAGCGCCUAAGGUUCUAGCAGAACUCCGGCGAGUCAGACAUGUUGUGCGUGUUCCGUUUUGGUGUAGAUCGGCAAGCACCAAGAAGGAAUCAAGGAAAUGCGUGACACAGACUAACAUAGAAACGGGACGGGAGUGAAGGUAGAGAUAGUGUCCUCCACCAAUCCUUACGGCGGACUCACGGCAGCGCACCGACGGUGACAAGCGACAGUGGUUCCAUCAAUGAUGUCGGUUCGGUGUUACAGGCGACCGGAGGACGAGGGUUCCAUGAUCAGUGAUGUCGGUUCGGUGGUGUCCAGGUGGUGUACGAUGUCGAAGGGAGGCGGUGGCAGAAUUUGGAACUAGGGUUCCGGCCGGUUACCAUAUCCCACAGCCGAUCUGGCUUCAAGACGAUGUCCCCGGCAACAUGCAAUGGCCGGGCAGUUAGGGUUUCGCCCCAAACAGGGGGUGUUUCAUGUGGUGCUCUCCGGCGACGUCAGGUGGUGACGGAGUAACAGAAGCAGGUGACAAUAUCCGGUAACAAUUGUUUUUGGUGUCCAGGUGCAAUCCGUCGAUCGGCUGGUCUGGUCCUAAUUCUAAUAAUCAGUGUUUCGCCUUCUCUUGCACCGACGUAACUCCUGAUUCACCCGUGUUCGCUUCAAUUUAUGUGUUUUAAGUAAGCUCCCAAGUCUCAGGUACGUGCAGUCCGUUACGAGAUGAGGAUGGGCAACAAACAUUUCUGCAAGCACGUCAACAUACGUCUAUUCUUGCACCACGUGUUCCGAAGGAUCUGUUUUUUACUUCGUCUUCUUAUGUCGCGGGUAUUGUGAAGCACUAAAGUGCGCUUCUGGUAUGCGGAAAAGUAUUUCGUUGUCUUCCUUACAUCAAAGACCCAAGCCAGUCGCGAUAGUGGGUCAGUUUUGUUAAUUGCAGGUUGCAAUUCUUAACAUACCAGUUUCAAAGUUGUGCAUUGCUGGUAACAAGACACAUAUGUAGAGAACAAAAUUGCUCAGACCUUGACGAGUGUCAACCGUGUUACUACAAAGGAUUCUUAAUAAAUCAGAUUGCGUAGAGUGUCACUGCUGGUAAGAUUUUAUUAAUUGCAAAUUGUAUUUUUUAUUAUGUGAGCUUCAUAGUUGGUAAGUUGUAUGUAAGGGGACAAGUAUGUAAGGUACAUGUGAUGUGUCAUAUUGCAAAUGCUGAGUUUCAUGUUUUUAUGGGUUUUAUUUUUUUUUU
rnacentral:lncRNA from 1 species